GCGUGAAAUCAUAUGAGGCACUAAUAGUUGGCACCUCCCCUUGCUAUGGGACUCUUUCUUGAUAUGAUUUAACUUCUAUUUAAACUCAGAUUUGAAUGAAAAUAAAUCCUAUCUGAUUGAGGUGUGGAACAAAAAGGGAAUCAUAUUUUUUGUGUGACAAAAUAUUGAAAAAGAGGAUGUGCGUGCGUGAGAAAGCGGUUGAGCGAUUCCUUUCUUGCAUCAUUCCUUCUUCA
rnacentral:lncRNA from 1 species